rnacentral:rRNA from 1 species
GUCCUUUUGAAUUUAAUUUAAGGUCUGACCUGCCCACUGAAUUUUUGAAGGGCCGCAGUAUUUUGACUGUGCAAAGGUAGCAUAAUCAUUAGUUUUUUAAUUAAAAGCUUGUAUGAAGGGUUGGACGAGGUAAAUUCUGUCUCUAUUUAAUUUAAUUUAGAAUUUAAUUUUUAAGUCAAAAAGCUUAAAUAUUAUUAAAAGACGAGAAGACCCUAUAGAUCUUUAUAUUAAAUUAAUUAAUUUUAUUUAAGAAUUAUUUAUUUUUUAAUAAAUUUAAUAUUUUAUUGGGGUAAUAAAAAGAUUAAUUUAAUUCUUUUUUUAUUUUUACAUUAAUAUAUGAUUAUACGAUCCAAUUUUAUUGAUUAAAAGAUUAAGUUACCUUAGGGAUAACAGCGUAAUUUUUUUAAAGAGUUCAUAUCGAUAAAAAAGUUUGCGACCUCGAUGUUGGAUUAAAAAUUAUCUUAGGUGCAGAAGUUUAAGAUUUUGGUCUGUUCGACCAUUAAAUUUUUACAUGAUCUGAGUUCAGACCGGCGUAAGCCAGGUCGGUUUCUAUCUUUAAUAAUUUAUAAUAUUUUAGUACGAAAGGACCAAAUAUUUAAUAUAUUUAUAUUUAUUUAUUUGAAUAU